rnacentral:rRNA from 1 species
AUGCUGACUGUAACAUUUUUUACCGUGGUUUGCAGCUCCGCCGCGUCGCCUCUUGCUGCCGACGCUGGGCUAGGCUGGUUCCAACGAAAAGAUAUGCCGGACGAAGCAUUUUGGCGCACCGGUGGUAGCAUCUAUGCAGCUUUGCCCUGUGCUACCGCUUGUUGUAGCAGACUUCCCCGUGGUAGCAAAAUCCUCAUGGAUGCAUUCAGCCAGCCGCCCCAUGGUUGUAGCUUCGUGUGCGAGCUCACACCAUGGCCGGCCUCGUCACAGAUUUGCGGUACUUGCAGUCCCAGCAAGUGCAGGAGCCGCACACAGCACAUGAUGGCCGCCCCAUCUCAAAGACGGUAA